rnacentral:rRNA from 1 species
AUUGAACGCUGGCGGCAGGCCUAACACAUGCAAGUCGAACGAGUGGCGGACGUGUGAGUAAUGUCUGUGACACUGCCGGUUGGAGGGGGAUAAAUACUGGAAACGGUAGCUACUACAGCAUACCAUAAGCUGUGCCCAGAUGGGAUUAGCUCGUUGGUGGGGUCACGGCUCACCAAGGCGACGAUCCCUAGCUGGUCUGAGAGGAUGUCCAGCCACACUGGAACGGAGACACGGUCCAUACUCCUAUGGGAGGGAGCAGUGGGGAAUAUUGCACAAUGGGCGCAAGCCUGAUGCAGCCAUGCCGCGUGUAUGAAGAAGGCCUUCGGGUUGUAAAGUACUGUCAGCGGGGAGGCGUUACCCGCAGAAGAAGCACCGGCUAACUCCGUGCCAGCAGCCGCGGUAAUAC